rnacentral:rRNA from 1 species
GUGGGGAAUUUUGGACAAUGGGGGCAACCCUGAUCCAGCCAUUCCGCGUGAGUGAAGAAGGCCUUCGGGUUGUAAAGCUCUUUUGUCCGGAGCGAAACGGGCGCGGCUAAUACCUGCGUCUACUGACGGUACCGGAAGAAUAAGCACCGGCUAACUACGUGCCAGCAGCCGCGGUAAUACGUAGGGUGCGAGCGUUAAUCGGAAUUACUGGGCGUAAAGCGUGCGCAGGCGGUUUUGUAAGCCAGAUGUGAAAUCCCCGGGCUUAACCUGGGAAUGGCAUUUGGGACUGCAAGGCUGGAGUAUGGCAGAGGGGACUGGAAUUCCUGGUGUAGCAGUGAAAUGCGUAGAUAUCAGGAGGAAUACCGAUGGCGAAGGCAGGUCCCUGGGCUAAUACUGACGCUCAUGCACGAAAGCGUGGGGAGCAAACAGGAUUAGAAACCCCUGUAGUCC